rnacentral:rRNA from 1 species
GACGAACGCUGGCGGCGUGCUUAACACAUGCAAGUCGAACGGUGAAGGGGUCUGCUUUUGUGGGCCCUGGAUGAGUGGCGAACGGGUGAGUAACACGUGAGUAACCUGCCCCCUUCUUCUGGAUAACCGCAUGAAAGUGUGGCUAAUACGGGAUAUUCUGGGUCUGUCGCAUGAUGGGUCUGGGAAAGAUUGCGCCUUUGGGUGUUUUUGGUGGGGGAUGGGCUCGCGGCCUAUCAGCUUGUUGGUGGGGUGAUGGCCUACCAAGGCGGUGACGGGUAGCCGGCCUGAGAGGGUGGACGGUCACACUGGGACUGAGACACGGCCCAGACUCCUACGGGAGGCAGCAGUGGGGAAUAUUGCACAAUGGGCGCAAGCCUGAUGCAGCGACGCCGCGUGAGGGAGGGAGGCCUUCGGGUUGUAAACCUCUUUCGCCAGUGAAGCAGGCCUGCUCCUUGUGGGUGGGUUGACGGUAGCUGGAUAAGAAGCGCCGGCUAACUACGUG